GGUGAUUAACACGGGGGUACCCUACUUAUAAAACGGGAAAAAUUUCGGAAACCCGGACUUAAUACCGAAUAACUUUUGAAACCGCAGGUUUCAAAAGGAAAAAAUGGUUUUGCUAUCAUUUAUAAAGGGACCCGCCCCGUAUUACCUAUUUGGAAAGGAAACGGUUUACCAGGGCAACAAUCCGUACCCAACCGGAAAGGGUGAUCGGCCACCCGGAAACUGAAACCCGGCCCAAACUCCUACGGGAGGCACCAGUAGGAAAUCUCCCGCAAGGGGCAAAACCCUGACGAACCACCCCCGCGGGAGUGAUGAAGGUUUUCGGUUCGAAAAACUCUGUUAUAAGGAAAAAACAAAUGUGUAAUUAAUUGUGCACUUUUUGACGGAACCUAAUCAAAAAGCCCGGGUUAACUACUUGCCACCACCCGGGGUAAAACGUAGGUGGCAAGCUUUAUCCGAAUUUAUUGGGCU
rnacentral:rRNA from 1 species